rnacentral:rRNA from 1 species
GCCGGGGCUGUCGCUAACUUUGUGCACGCCCUGGUGCUCUCUCACAAUCCAUCUCACCCCCUUUGUGCAUCACCGCGUGGGUGCUCUCCUUUUGGUUUGUUCCGAAAGGGGGCAUUUGCGUUUUUAUACAAAACCACUGCAUGUGUAGAAUGUCUUACUAUUUGCGAUAAUGGGCAAUUAAUACAACUUUCAACAACGGAUCUCUUGGCUCUCGCAUCGAUGAAGAACGCAGCGAAAUGCGAUACGUAAUGUGAAUUGCAGAAUUCAGUGAAUCAUCGAAUCUUUGAACGCACCUUGCGCCCCUUGGAAUUCCGAGGGGCACACCCGUUUGAGUGUCGUGAACAUCCUUCAACCUUUCUUGGUUUCUUGACCGAGGAAGGCUUGGACUUUGGGGGUCUUUCAUUGCUGGCCUCUUUGAAGCCAGCUCCUCCUAAAUGGAUUAGUGUGGUCUGCUUUGCCGAUCCUUGACGUGAUAAGAUGUUUCUACGUCUUGGGUUUUGCACUGUCGCUUUAGACCCCGCUUCUAACUGUCU